CAGGUAGAGAAUACCAAGGCGCUUGAGAGAACUCGGGUGAAGGAACUAGGCAAAAUGGUGCCGUAACUUCGGGAGAAGGCACGCUGAUAUGUAGGUGAAGUCCCUCGCGGAUGGAGCUGAAAUCAGUCGAAGAUACCAGCUGGCUGCAACUGUUUAUUAAAAACACAGCACUGUGCAAACACGAAAGUGGACGUAUACGGUGUGACGCCUGCCCGGUGCCGGAAGGUUAAUUGAUGGGGUCAGCGCAAGCGAAGCUCUUGAUCGAAGCCCCGGUAAACGGCGGCCGUAACUAUAACGGUCCUAAGGUAGCGAAAUUCCUUGUCGGGUAAGUUCCGACCUGCACGAAUGGCGUAAUGAUGGCCAGGCUGUCUCCACCCGAGACUCAGUGAAAUUGAACUCGCUGUGAAGAUGCAGUGUACCCGCGGCAAGACGGAAAGACCCCGUGAACCUUUACUAUAGCUUGACACUGAACAUUGAGCCUUGAUGUGUAGGAUAGGUGGGAGGCUUUGAAGUGUGGACGCCAGUCUGCAUGGAGCCGACCUUGAAAUACCACCCUUUAAUGUUUGAUGUUCUAACGUGGACCCGUGAUCCGGGUUGCGGACAGUGUCUGGUGGGUAGUUUGACUGGGGCGGUCUCCUCCUAAAGAGUAACGGAGGAGCACGAAGGUUGGCUAAUCCUGGUCGGACAUCAGGAGGUUAGUGCAAUGGCAUAAGCCAGCUUGACUGCGAGCGUGACGGCGCGAGCAGGUGCGAAAGCAGGUCAUAGUGAUCCGGUGGUUCUGAAUGGAAGGGCCAUCGCUCAACGGAUAAAAGGUACUCCGGGGAUAACAGGCUGAUACCGCCCAAGAGUUCAUAUCGACGGCGGUGUUUGGCACCUCGAUGUCGGCUCAUCACAUCCUGGGGCUGAAGUAGGUCCCAAGGGUAUGGCUGUUCGCCAUUUAAAGUGGUACGCGAGCUGGGUUUAGAACGUCGUGAGACAGUUCGGUCCCUAUCUGCCGUGGGCGCUGGAGAACUGAGGGGGGCUGCUCCUAGUACGAGAGGACCGGAGUGGACGCAUCACUGGUGUUCGGGUUGUCAUGCCAAUGGCACUGCCCGGUAGCUAAAUGCGGAAGAGAUAAGUGCUGAAAGCAUCUAAGCACGAAACUUGCCCCGAGAUGAGUUCUCCCUGACCCUUUAAGGGUCCUGAAGGAACGUUGAAGACGACGACGUUGAUAGGCCGGGUGUGUAAGCGCAGCGAUGCGUUGAGCUAACCGGUACUAAUGAACCGUGAGGCUUAACCUUACAACGCCGAAGGUGUUU
rnacentral:rRNA from 2 species